rnacentral:rRNA from 1 species
CCCUUAGAUGUUCUGGGCCGCACGCGCGCUACACUGAUGCAUUCAACGAGUUUUUCCUUGGCCGAGAGGCCUGGGCAAUCUUUUAAACGUGCAUCGUGAUAGGGAUAGAUUAUUGCAAUUAUUAAUCUUGAACGAGGAAUUCCUAGUAAACGCAGAUCAUCAAUCUGCAUUGAUUACGUCCCUGCCCUUUGUACACACCGCCCGUCACACCUACCGAUUGAAUGGUCCGGUGAAGCCUCGGGAUUGUGGCGAGUUCCCUUUAUUGGGAGUUUGUCGCGAGAACUUGUCUAAACCUUAUCAUUUAGAGGAAGGUGAAGUCGUAACA